rnacentral:rRNA from 1 species
AAUAUUGGUCAAUGGGGGCAACCCUGAACCAGCCAAGUCGCGUGAAGGAUGAAGGUCUUAUGGAUUGUAAACUUCUUUUACACGGGAAUAAAGUGGGGGACGUGUCCCCCUUUGCAUGUACCGUGUGAAUAAGGAUCGGCUAACUCCGUGCCAGCAGCCGCGGUAAUACGGAGGAUCCGAGCGUUAUCCGGAUUUAUUGGGUUUAAAGGGUGCGCAGGCGGGAUGUUAAGUCGGCGGUGAAAUUUUGCAGCUCAACUGUAAAAGUGCCUUCGAUACUGGCCUCCUUGAGUGUGGAUGAAGUAGGCGGAAUUUGUGGUGUAGCGGUGAAAUGCUUAGAUAUCACGAGGAACUCCGAUUGCGCAGGCAGCUUACUAAGCCACAACUGACGCUCAUGCACGAAGGCGUGGGGAUCAAACA